GUUAAAAAGCUCGUAGUUGGAUUUCGGAAGGUCCUUAGCAAUCCGCCCCUUCGGGGAGCGGGUUGCUGGCCUCCUAUGUUCCUAACGGCCCUCAUCCGCGAGGGUGGGGAAUCAACCGCUAGGAUCGUUUACUUUGAGGAAAUUAGAGUGUUCAAAGCAGGCGUAACUCGCCUCCGAAUACGUUAGCAUGGGAUAAUGGAAUACGACUUCGGUCUUGUUUCGUUGGUUUCGCUUGGCUGAAGUAAUGAUUGAUAGGGACAGUUGGGGGCAUUAGUAUUUAGUUGUCAGAGGUGAAAUUCUAGGAUUUACUAAAGACUGACCAAUGCGAAAGCAUUUGCCAAGGAUGUUUUCAUUAAUCAAGAACGAAAGUAGGGGGAUCGAAGACGAUCAGAUACCGUCGUAGUCUCUACCGUAAACUAUGCCGACCAGGGAUCCGGAGAGUUUGCAUGGAUGACUCCCCGGGCACCUUGUGAGAAAUCAUAAGUGUUUGGGUUUUGGGGGGAGUAUGGUCGCAAGGCUGAAACUUAAAGGAAUUGACGGAAGGGCACCACCAGGAGUGGAACCUGCGGCUUAAUUUGACUCAACACGGGGAAACUUACGAGGUCAGGACACUGUGAGGAUUGACAGAUUGAAAG
rnacentral:rRNA from 1 species